CCGGCGCACGGGUGCGGAACGCGUAUGGAAUCUACCUCUUUCUGGGGAAUAUCCCAUGGAAACGUGGAAUAAUACCCCAUAGUAUUCAGAAAUCGCAUGAUUUUUGAAUUAAAGCUUUGGCGGAAAGAGAUGACCAUGCGUAUCAUUAGCUAGUAGGUGAGGUAACGGCUCACCUAGGCAACGAUGAUUAGGGGUCCUGAGAGGGAGAUCCCCCACACUGGUACUGAGACACGGACCAGACUCC
rnacentral:rRNA from 1 species